rnacentral:lncRNA from 15 species
AUGAUACGUUUUAUGAAUCUUUUGUUCUUUGUAGGUACUACGGACCGACUGAACCACAACAUGUCUAGGUUAAAAUAUCACAUGUCAUUGCCUGUGGCAGUGGGUGUCAUGUUGGUGGGGCUCCCAUACUCUAUCUCUCUUGCUGCUCAAUGGAUUUAUGGUUGGCCCAACAAGCCUGGAUAUAAGAAGUACAUAGAAGCACUAAAACCAAGGCGGAUAUACUGCUUGACCAGAGCUGUGCUGGAAACGGUCAAAUAUCUGCAAUAUGGGAGACUUUACUUUCAGUGGAAGUUAUGGUACAGGAAUGACGAAAACCGUAAGCAUUAUGAAAAGGGCAUCCCAUUUGGUCGCAGAAGCAAUAAGCUGGACUUGUACCACCCUCCAAACAUGGGCAGGUCCAAAGAUGUGCCUGCACCUUUGGUGGUUUUCAUCUACGGAGGUGCAUGGGGCUCCGGCGAAAGAUCCAUUUACUGUUUGCUGGCCAGGCAGAUGGCUGAGGAACUGAGUGCAACAGUCAUUUGUCCUGAUUACAGCACCUAUCCAAAGGACAACAUAGUGUUGAUUGGCCACUCCGCGGGUGCACAUUUGUGUGCACUGACCACGCUGUUUCUCAUUGAUGCAAGAGAGGAGCUUUUCAUAGAGGCCAGCAAGCAGAGGGACGUUACACUGGCGAUCAGAGGAGUCAUUGGUCUGAGCGGCGUUUACAACAUCAUGGACCAUUAUGAGCACGAGCAGAAGCGAGGAGUCGAAUAUGUCUCCACCAUGCACAAAUCCAUGAAUGGAGUGGAGAACUUCCCCUACUACUCACCAACACACUUACUGGAGAACUUGAGCCAGGACAAACUGAGCAGAGUGCCUCCGUUCGCUUUGCUCCACGGGACCAGUGACAUUAUCGUUCCCGUUGAAUCUUCCACAAAGCUCUCUGAGCUCCUCACCUCGCUGUCUGUAAAGGUGUCGCUCUACAUGCUGCCCAGAGUUGACCACACAGAGAUGGUCACUGACCUCAUGGCGCCAGACAGGCACUUCUACCAUCCCAUCUACAGCUGCAUCAAACAGGAGUACAGAAAUUUUUUGGAAACCUGCUGAUGUCCCAUCAGAUCAGAAAAACAUUCAUUCAUCACUAAUAUUAACUGAUUGUGCCAUACACUUACUUUGUUUACAGUAUCUGCUUUAAUACUUCAUAAAUUUUUUGUGAUUCCAUAAUAAUGAUUUAUAUUUUGUACAGUUCUGUGAUUGUAAUCCAGGAGUUACUUCUAAUUUAUUUUUAAUCUGUAAUCUGAAAAAAGCUUUCUAAAUUAACUGCAAUCCGGAGAACAUCAUUGUAAUGAUGUAGAGAUAUUAUCCAGAUUGUAUUUGUGAAGCAAUAACAGUAUUAUGAGAAAGGAGUAAAGCACAUUAAUACAUACAUAGUAUUGAAAUGUGAGUCCAAUUAUCAAAACUGUACUUAAAUCAAAACAUUUUGAUUCAUUAACAUGGAUGUUAUUACCAAAUGAAGCUUUUACUUGAUUUAUUGUAACAUUGUAACUUGAAUAACUAUUUAUUGAUCCUGGACACAUUAAACCCACCAGAAAGAACUGAUAGAUUUAUUUGCCUUUUGUAUUUAUUAACUUACUACAAAUCUCUCACACAUAGGGGAUAUUAUACAUGUAUAUUUUGAUAAGCAGGAGCAAUUACAGCAUGUACCAAUAUAAACAUUCUUCAAAAAUCUUCUAUUUUGUAAAAUGCCCAAUUUUAUGUUUUAUACAUGGAAGUACAGUGUUUGUCUUUACCACAUGCUUGUACCAUAAGUUUUGUAUCUGAAUGCAUUAUGCAUGCUUAACUACAAUAGUAAACUCAUAACAUCAGUAUGGUAAUAAUCUGGUAGAAAAUAUAAAUAUACAUAGCUACAGUGUAUACAAAUCUGUGGAAGCAGGUUAUAUCAUGUUAGACAAAUUCAGUAUAAGCAUUUGAUUAUAUAUUUUACAACAUAAUUUUCCUUUAGAGAUUAUAAUGUGUGAGUGGGCUCACACUAUUAUAUUAUAUAUAUAUAUAUAUAUAUAUAUAUAUAUAUAUAUAUAUAUUAUUAUAGUUGUAGAUUUAACUAUAUAUAUAUAUAUAUAUAUAUAUAUAUAUAUAUAUAUAUAGUUGUAGAUUUAACUAUAUAUAACUAUAUAUAGUUAAAUCUACAACCUUUUUCCAUUGGACUUUUCCAUGGUAGUGGAACUACCAUAGUACUUAUUGAUAAUAAUAAUAAUACUAUUAUUUUACCCUUUUGUAAAUUUUCACACAACUUGGUGUCUGGAAGAAUGUUGUAUUUAAUAAAAUGUGUAUAAAAUAAAUCAAUUUACCUUCCCAGCUUUAUUUACAUUUCCUUUCGACUUAAAAAGAAACUGCAAAAUCCCCAUAAUAUAUCAAAACAAUAUAUUUAUGUUUUUAUUAAAAUAAAAUGGUGAACUAUAGCCUAGCUGCUCUGUAAAUUUGAGUUAAAAAUGCUAAAUAAAUGUUUCACAGUAACCAAAUGAGUGAACUAGAAAAAAGCUGCCGGAAUUGAUGAAGCCUUUAAGCUUUAAGUGAAUAAUAUUUCAGUAAUAUUUUUUAAUAAUUUAAUAAACUUGAUUCAUUUGGUUGGUACUUACGUGACAUUUAAUAAAAGCUCAUCCAAGUCAGGUUAAUUAAGACCUCUUUAAAAGUCUUAUUUCCACAUGCUGCUGUUGAAUUUUCCCCAUCGUCUUCUAGCUUUUAUUUUGAAAACUGAGAUUAUUUUGCGCACACACACACACACACACACUCACGCACGAGGCGGAGUUUAGCGAGGACCUACAUCGGAGCCUCAGCUCAUUUGAAGCUGUGCCGCAUAGCUUCUCACACACUCAUUCUGGUCCUUUAGUGGAGGGGGUUACCUGAAACAGUUUGUCGGUACCGAAGCGUGAAGAAGUGAAAACAGGUGUGUAAAUAUGUAAGUGCGCAGUCCGCCAACACCAGCGU